rnacentral:rRNA from 1 species
GACGAACGCUGGCGGCGUGCUUAACACAUGCAAGUCGAACGCUGAAGCUCAGCUUUUGUUGGGUGGAUGAGUGGCGAACGGGUGAGUAACGCGUGAGUAACCUGCCUCCUUCUUUGGGAUAACGCCCGGAAACGGGUGCUAAUACUGGAUAUUCACUGGUCUUCGCAUGGGGGUUGGUGGAAAGGGUUUUUCUGGUGGGGGAUGGGCUCGCGGCCUAUCAGCUUGUUGGUGGGGUGAUGGCCUACCAAGGCUUUGACGGGUAGCCGGCCUGAGAGGGUGACCGGUCACAUUGGGACGGAGAUACGGCCCAGACUCCUACGGGAGGCAGCAGUGGGGAAUAUGGCACAAUGGGCGCAAGCCUGAUGCAGCGACGCCGCGUGAGGGAUGGAGGCCUUCGGGUUGUGAACCUCUUUCGCUCAUGGUCAAGCCGCAACAAUGGUUGUGGUGAGGGUAGUGGGUAAAGAAGCGCCGGCUAACUACGUG